rnacentral:lncRNA from 1 species
UCGAGUUUUCACAUCUUUAUUAUUGUUGUUGUUGUUGUUAUUAUUAUUAUUAUUAUCAUCAUCAUCAUCAUCAUCAUCAUCGAAGUAUUUCACGUCCAGAGCUAAGACAAGACUACAAACACAACACAUAGAAAAUUAAUAAAAUAGAACUUUGUUUUCUUCUGAGGCUCCUCUUCUUACUUCUAGGUAGUAUGUGCUCCUUCCAGUGGCUUUGGGGAGGGGGUGGGAGAGACGACAGGUCUGGGAUCAGGGAGUCUUCAAGGCCCCCGCUGAGGGGACAGCGAAUCUACCAUUGAACCGUGCACGGGGGACAUGGACAAAAUGAGACGCGACAGGGACAAGAGCAUUUUGCUCUGCUUCCAGGAAACAUCAAGUUGCUUGUCUGGAGAUGGAGCCACUACAGGCGGGCCUGGGCGCCUGGAGUCGGGCAUGAAAGAAAAUAGCGCCUCAUCGCUCUUAUCUAAGCCCAGAGGUAGACUUCGCUUGAAAAGAUCGAGAAUGGAGGAGGGGAUCGGCACUCACUUGCAGACAUCAACAGUUUCCAGAAAAUUCGGUUCAAUUCCUUCACCACGGACCCACCAACCAAGGAGCUGGCAAAACCCACUAACCAACCAGGAGAACACAGACCCGCCGUUUCCUCUCCCUCGCCGGCCUCGGCGGAGAUUCCAGGCCCUAUAGAAACCAGGACGUCCCUUAGCGCCACCGCCUCACAUGCCAGUGCUGCCGGGAACCCAGCGAUAUCCGCACCAGCGGAGAAGGUUCCAGGCUGCCGGCGGCGGCGCAGAGAGCGGGAAGAGAGGCUCGGAGGAAGCCCCGGGCGUGGCGUGGUCAGGCUCCGAGAGCGGCCGGGAUGCGGCCACACCGGCCUGGUAAACUCGCACCUCUUAGGAUCUUGCUCCCGGACUCAUUCCCUUCCCCACCCCCUAUUUUAAAGUUUUAUUUGGGUCGUCUGUAUCAAUUUAGAACGAGAUAAAUUAAGACAAAGAAAGUAAAAUAAAUCGAAAUAAAAUAUAGGAAUAGCUCUUGGCGAAAA